ensembl:lncRNA
UUAUUACGUUCAUCGUAGAGACGGUGUCGUACUUGUCGGGUGGUCUCCUCGAAAUGAGAGCAAAGGCUGAAGCGCAAAAGAAGAAAGAUGAGACAACGAUCAAAGUAAACUGUCAUCUUAGCGUUUUAACUUGAAGAAUGAUCUGGAGUGACAGAUCUGACCUUCCAAGACCCGUGAUGUCCUCUUGAGCCAGAGGCCUGCAGGGAGCAACCACCUGUGAAUGAAGCUGAUCGCUGAUGAUAGACCUGCUGGACAAUGUGCUUUUGGUCUGAAAUGUUCUGGACCUUUUACAUGUCCAAUCAACUUUUCUCAUGUGUACUUCUUUAUACUGUGAUUAAAGGUUUUUAAUACUUUAAAA